AUAUUGAACUCAGUUGGAAGAGGAGAGUCCAGUCUUAAAAUGGAGGGCCCUAAUCCAAAGAAAGCACAGCAGCUGAGGAAACUGUCCAUUGCUGGUCUGAGCUUUGAAACCACAGAUGGUAGCUUAAGAGAACAUUCUGAGAAAUGGGGCACACUUACAGACUGUGUGGUUUCGUGACCUACUCUUGUGUUGAAGAGGUGGAUGCUGCACUGUGUGCUCGGCCACACACGCUUGAUGGGCGUGUGGUGGAACCAACGAGAGCUGUUUCUAGAGAGGAUUCUGUAAAGCCUGGGGCCCAUUUAACGGUGAAGAAAAUUUUUGUUGGUGGUAUUAAAGAGGAUACGGAAGAAUAUAACCUGAGAGACUACUUUGAAAAGUGUGGCAAGAUUGAAACCAUAGACAUUAUGAAAGACAAGCAGAGUGGGAAAAAGAAGAUUUGCUUUUGUAACUUUUGAUAAAAUUGUUCAGAAAUGCCACACUAUUAAUGCACACAACUGUGAAGUGAAAAAGGCCCUUUCUAAACAAGAGCUGCAGUCUGCUGGGUCACAGAGAGGUCGUGGAGGUGGAGCUGGCAGCUUUAUGGGUCCUGGAGGAACUUUUGGUUGUGGAGGAAACUUUGGUGGAAGAGGUGGCUAUGGUGGUGGAGGUAGUGGCAGCGGAGGUAGUUAUGAAGGUGGUGAUGGUGGAUAUAAUGCACUAGGAGGCAACGGUGGCAACUAGUGAUGGUCCUGGUUACAGUAGUAGAGGUUAUGGGGGUUGUGAACUGGGAUAUGGAAACUAGGGUGGUGGAUAUGGUGGUAGAGGAGGAGGAUAUGACGGUUACAAUGAAGGAGGAAAUUUUGGUGGAGGUGACUAUGCUGGAGGUGGAAACUAUAAUGACUUCAGAAAUUACAGUGGACAGCAACCAUCAAAUUAUAGACCCAUGAAGGGAGGCAGUGUGGAUGGAAGAAGCUCGAGCAGUCCCUAUGGUGGUGGUUAUGGAUCUGGUGGUGGAAGUGGAAGCUAUGGUAGCAGAAGGUUUUAAAGUAAAAUAGAAACAGACUACACUUCUUAGUGAGAGAGAAAGACAGAGAGAGAGACAGAGACAGAGACAGAGCAAAGACUUGUCAGGAAAGCUGGAGGUUAUGUUGAGACAGUUGUCCCAAAUGCAUUAGAGGAACUGUAAAAAUCUGAAGGAAUGAUAAUCCAUAGUCAGAAAAGUCACUGCAGCUUAAACAGAAAACCCUUCCUGUUCAAGACCAACAUAGAUUCAGUUUACAAAAACAUGCAGCUAUUGAUUAAUGCAACUUAGUGUCAAUUAGAUAUAUGUUCCUGAGGUCUUUUCUUUUAUCUGUUGUAGCUUUCUUUAUCUUUUUCUUUUCAUUAUAUCAGGUAUACUGCCCUAUAAAUUGUGGUAGUAGUACCAGGAAUAGAAAAUUAAGAAUUUUUAAACUUUGAUAAAUAAAAUAGAGAGACAGACACAAAAAGAUGGUACUAUACCAAGAUAUAAGACCAACUGCCUACCAGGCAUACACAAAGCUCAUGGUUGAAUUAUCUGUUCUGCAAAAACAGGAGGAAAAUGAAAAAAAAAAAUGACAAAGUUAACUCUGGGGUUGAGAAAACACUUUUUUUUUUUGAAAGGGAAAUAGCAACACGUUCCAUUAAAGUGGGGGGAGAGGUUUGGUGGGCAUUAAAUUAUUGUAAAGGGCAGAAUUUCAAAAUAUCCCCUGUAAGCCAGUUUCUUAUAUUCUGGUCAUUUAAAUACUUUGAUUGGCUGAAGUAAACAUAUUGGGUAGUUGAGCCUGAAAUAGGACUAGACAUAAUUACAUGAACCUGUAACAACAAAAGGCUGGUAGAUGAGGAGUUCAUGGGAAAUGUGGCCAAAGAGAGAAUGAGGAAGUGCUGCCCAGUUUUAUAUCUUCAUCUGUAUAGUUUUAUAUACUCAACACAGCUAGAGUCAUCUGAAACAAGGAAGCUUUAAGGGAGAAAAAAUGCCUCCAUAAGUUAAUGAUGGAUCUUAGACACUUUAAUCUCUCUUUUAGCCCAUCACCCACCCACCGGAGGUAGUAGAAAAGAAAGGAUAUGGGGGAAGUAGACCUGUUUUAAAAGGUUUUUUGGAGCAAGUCCCAUCUGUGUUGUCUGGAAACAGUUCAGCUCACUGAAUCCACUUGCAAACACUUCACAGAUACACCAGCAGUCCAGUUAGGUAGAGUCAGAAUAGCAAACAGGAAUCAGCAGCAGUUCCACCACUACCUAGCAGAGACAGCCAGGCCUCAGUCUUAGCACAAGUCAACAGCAGGGACCAAGAGGAGCACCAGGACAAGUUCUUGGCUGUAGCUCUCUCAGGGAAGCAAGGAUCAGCGAAGACAUGAGACCAGUAAGUGUUGUAUAGCUAGCUCUAUAAGAAAAGCCAAGCUCAGCGCCCCCCCCCUUUUUUUUUACUGUCCACAAAGUCUUUUUUAUACUGCCUCCAAAUAUCACAAGUCCUCUACAGGUGUUAUCUGUCUCAGCUGAUAUAAUACUAUCAAUCAAUACAGCACACUACCACAAGUUUUUGGGUGUUUUUUUCUCUAUGGAGUCCUGAAAAAUGGAGCCCAAAUACACAAUGUAAGGUGGACCAAUACAUGCUUGUAUUGUAUUGUUUUGUAUUGUAUGCUUCAGCAAAGAAUCUCUCAUCAUGUGUCCUUUCAUGUGCUUGCUUUAGCAGAACAUCCUCUCUCCUGUGUCCACUUCAAUGAAAUGUUCAUUCACAAGUCUGCCUAAAUCUUCCACCUGUGUCCACUUCAGGAAAACAUUCCUUCAUGAGUUUACCCCAGCAAAACACCAUCCAACACAACUGACUUUCCAAAGAACAUUUCACAUUUCCACUUCAUCCGAAAGAAGGUGCCAUCUCUGGGCUGGUGGUCCUAUGUUCUAAAAGAAAGCAGACUGAGAAAGGCACGUGGAGCAAGCCACCAUGCAGCAGCCCACCAUGGCCUCUGCAUCAGCUCCUGCCCUGUUUGAAUUCCUGUCCUGACUGGCCUCCUUUGAUGGUGGACUACAAUGUGGAAGUGUAAACCAUUUCCUCUCCAACUUCUUGUUGGUCAUGGUGUUUCAUCACAGCAGUAGUGACUAAUCCUAGCUAAAACAGGUUCUUCAGAAAGGAAAGGUCAGAUAAGUCUGAGAACUCAAUUUACUUUUCCUUGCUAUAAAACAAAGAAAGAUCCAAAACCAUUAAAAAGCCUCUGUGAGCCCCACUGGGGCUCGAGGUGAAAGCCAGUAAAUACAAAUGUACUUCAGUAACUGCAAUAACUGCAAACCGGAGCCAGGGUAAGCCUGGAUGUGGCAUUCUUUCUAGAGUCACCUGAUAUACUCACUACUAAAUAUACUAGACUUCAGCCAUGUGAAAGUCUAAAUACAAAACAGCAAAAGCUACCAAUUAAACUUAUUUCAUAUGAAUAAAGUAGAGAAGAAAAGAGACAAAAGUUAAUGUAUGUUCAUUAAGCUGUUAAAUGUGUACUAAAUCUGUAAUGACAACAGUUCCAUAAAGAAGCUAGGGGUAGAAUCAGAACUGGGAGGAGGAGCUCAGGAAAAAGAACAAGCAUUCAAACUACAGAGACAUAGAAUAAAGUCAAAGACAACUCUGUGAAAUGACUCAUAGCAAAACCAAACAUUUUAAGAAUUAGGGUAGCGGGCGUAGUGGCGCACGCCUUUAAUCCCAGCACUUGGGAGGCAGAGGCA